CCUACGGGCGGCAGCAGUGAGGAAUAUUGGUCAAUGGACGGAAGUCUGAACCAGCCAUGCCGCGUGCAGGAAGACGGCACUAUGAGUUGUAAACUGCUUUUGUACAAGGGUAAACCUGAAUACGUGUGUUCAGCUGAAAGUACUGUACGAAUAAGGAUCGGCUAACUCCGUGCCAGCAGCCGCGGUAAUACGGAGGAUCCGAGCGUUAUCCGGAUUUAUUCGGGUUAAAGGGUGCGUAGGCGGAUUGAUAAGUUAGAGGUGAAAUGUCCGAGCUUAACUCGGGAACUGCCGCUAAUACUGGUCGUCUAGAGAGUAGAUGCGGUAGGCGGAAUGUGUGGUGUAGCGGUGAAAUGCAUAGAGAUCA
rnacentral:rRNA from 1 species